rnacentral:rRNA from 1 species
UACGGAGGGGGCUAGCGCUGUUCGGAAUUACUGGGCGUAAAGCGCGCGUAGGCGGCUUUGUAAGUUAGAGGUGAAAGCCCGAAGCUCAACUUCGGAAUUGCCUUUAAGACUGCAUCGCUAGAAUCAUGGAGAGGUUAGUGGAAUUCCGAGUGUAGAGGUGAAAUUCGUAGAUAUUCGGAAGAACACCAGUGGCGAAGGCGACUAACUGGACAUGUAUUGACGCUGAGGUGCGAAAGCGUGGGGAGCAAACAGG